rnacentral:tRNA from 1 species
GUUUUAAUAUUUUAAAGAAAAUAUUAGUCUUGUAAACUAAAAUUAGGGUUUAACCUUUAAAACU